AUAUUUUAGAUUACUAAAUAUUACCCCUAAACCAUCAUCAUAACUCUUUUCGUAGUUAAAAUAAUUACCUUUAAUUACAUCUCGUUAUCGUCUGUUUCGUAUCUUCCACCAUUUUGUCUCUACCACGCCUGGACUCGCCGAGGAGAAGCGACGACAAUUUGGAAUCGAAGACGUCCAAUAAUAAACUUUCAAAUCAAGAAGUGGAAGGUGUAAGCAAAAUAUAAUAUUUUAAGCCGCAUA